AACGCACAUUGCGCCUUCUGUAAUAAGGAGGCAUGCCUGUCUGAGCGUCAUUUAAACCAAUGGACUAAACUCCGUGUUGGAUGUUCGCCUUUGGCGUCAUCUCAAAAACAUUGGCUUUAUGAGCGGAUGAAAUCCAUUAGGACUGACCGCUUUAAAGAGCCCACCAUUUCUCUGAUUUGACCUCAGAUCAGGUAGGAUUACCGCCUGAACUUAA
rnacentral:misc_RNA from 1 species